rnacentral:rRNA from 1 species
AUUGAACGCUGGCGGCAGGCCUAACACAUGCAAGUCGAGCGAGCGGCGGACGGGUGAGUAAUGUAUGGGGACUGCCCGAUAGAGGGGGAUAACUACUGGAAACGGUAGCUAAUACCGCAUACUAUCGGAUAACCCAUAUGGGAUUAGCUAGUAGGUGAGGUAAUGGCUCACCUAGGCGACGAUCCCUAGCUGGUCUGAGAGGAUGAUCAGCCACACUGGGACUGAGACACGGCCCAGACUCCUACGGAGGCAGCAGUGGGGAAUAUUGGACAAUGGGGGAAAGCCUGAUCCAGCCAUGCCGCGUGUAUGAUGAAGGCCUUCGGGUUGUAAAGUACUUUCAGUCGAGAAGCGGUAUCUGCAGAAGAAGCACCGGCUAACUACGUGCCAGCAGCCGCGGUAAUUC